rfam:Salmo salar isolate Sally breed double haploid chromosome ssa24, whole genome shotgun sequence.
UGCAUUCACUACUGUAAAUCGCUCUGGAUAAGAGCGUCUGUUAAAUGACUAAAA